rnacentral:piRNA from 1 species
UACACACCUAGUGCCCAAGGAUAAAGC